UUUCACGACCAAAGAUUCUGAAAAUAGAGAGAAAAUAAAACCAAAAACAUUUCUUGGCUAGCUUGAAGAGAUUCUAAGGAGAUCCAAGUUAAAUCAAAGCCAAAGAAGUGGAUUAAGCUUAGUUUUGGGCUUUUUAUGUGGUUUUAGGUUUAAAAAAGCUAGAAGAGAUUGUUUUCGCUGAAAAGUUGCUCGGAUAAGCACAUCAACACCUAAGACACCACUUGUUACACGGUGAAAUAUAUUUUGGACAGAAGGUAGAGACAGAAAUGAGUGAGUGACAAAGGAGAACUGAAGCAUGGUCCUGACCCUGAUUUGUACAUAUGAAGAUAUCGACCUUUUGUGGGUUAUUUCAGUUUAUCAGUGUGUAUGUUUGUAAUAAAGUGUGGAAUUAUGUUAUGAAAAUAAAUGGAGUUAUUUAAUACUUAUGUAUAAUAUGUUUGAGACACACUUUAUGUUUAAUGUAAAUAAUGUGA